UUUUUUAUAUGUAUGUCGAAAAAUGUAUUAACUUCUUCCUGUUUGACGAGUCCUUUUAAAAAAAUGAAUAAGACAAGAAUGUAAUAAACGACAGACAUUUAACUCGCAAUAUGUGGAGGACUAUUUCUUUACACGGAUGACAGGAACAGAUCAAAAUCAACCACAAUAUGAAAUGAGCUGAAUAAGAUGACAUUUCACGGGUUUAUAAAUACAGUUCAUUCAUGUUUAAAGCUGUGAAGACACAUUGAAAUCAGAUAUCACCAUAGACUUAGUCUAGAAUGGCAAUACUUUGUCUACAGAAAAGAGGACCGUAUGGUAGAUGGAUUUGUUUGGUAUUGGUGGUUUUAAUACUAUCACAAUUAUUUGUUGCUAUGCGACCAACAGCCUUAAUGUCAUAUCAAGCGGCCAUUAUCGCAGAUAUCCAUAACAGUUUUCUUCAGAGACAAGAUGAUUCCAGGUCGCACCUAUUUGACAGAGAUGCAACUGAUCCAGAGCUUAUAAAUUAUGUCCGUAAAAACUUCAUUGAACAUUUUCAAAGCGUUCCUUACAACUUGACCACUCCAUGGAGAGAACAUCCAACACGGGAACAAAGUAAACAAAUUGAUAAUUUUUUGCAUAAACAGACCAACGGUACAUUUGUAGAUAUAGGAGCAAAUGACGGAGAACAAGAUUCCGUAACUCUGUUUUUUGAAAGAUGGCGGAAUUGGACAGGUUUAUUAGUUGAACCUAAUCCUUCCAAGUAUGACACAAUUAAACAGAAACACAGGCGAGCUUUAACAGUCAAUGCUUGUGUCAAGACAAAUAAAAACGAAUCAGAAAUGUUGUUUUCACGAAAUAAGAAAAUACCUUGUUUUUGGACGGACACCAUUUUAUAUGCUUUAAACAAACAUCAAAUAGAUCUGCUUAAUAUUGAUGUAAGCGGCAAGGAGAUGGACAUCUUAAAGUCGGUCGCACAUGACAAGUUUUUUAUACGUGUAAUAACGGUGGAGUUUGCUAUAGAUAUAUUGCCAGAACUGCACAACAUAUUUGGCUACAUGGAUAAAAGAGGUUAUGUUGCUAUUCAUCAAUAUAUUAACCAGGGAAUACAGAAAACUGAUGUGAUGUUUGUGAACAAGCGUGCACUGAAUUCUCCAUCAUAAUUUAAUUGUGCUUAAGUGUGGUGAGCCCUGUAAACGGUUAGUUGGAAUAGGUGAAAACUUUUUUUACCUUUCACUGCUACGCAAGGAUAAAGCAUUUAAAUAACACAAUGCAAUCAAUUGAUGAAUUGAUACUACUUGUAUGUAAUGUCAGCUUUUGAUCUCAAAUAUUUGUUACAGGGGAUUGUGAACUAUACUAUUCACACUUAUAAAUGAAACUAAAUACAUACAGUUGCUGUAGAAACCUUCAAGGUUGUUUAUCUAUCUUUAAAAAAAUCUGUUAUUUCCUUAUUUUCUGAAAGAAAACAUUCAUGGCAGAUAAAAGGGUAGGUGUAGACCUAGUUCACAAAGACAUCUUGGAAGCAUGCUGUGUUUAGUUUCAACUUUCUAUGAACAAGGGAACCAAUAUUAUAUUUUGUUUAAACUAAGAGAGUACAAAUAGCAAAAUGCACUUUU